UUAUUAUUUCUUUCUCUUCUUCAUAUCUGAAAUGUAUGUUUUCCCCUAGCUAUAUAUUUAUUUAAUGUAUACACACACAAGUUUAUUUUUUCCUAAAAAAUAUGCAUUUAAGGCUCUGAAUGUCACUCUAAAUUUUGGUUAUUGUGCAUCUCAUAGGUUUUACUGUACAUUUUAUAAUUAUAAUACACUUCUUAGUAUUGUAAAUAUUAUUCCAUUAGGUUAUUUGGAAGUGAAUUAUUUCACAAAAUGAAAGAUGAGGAGGUCAAUUUCAUUAUUACUUUUAAAUAUUACUUCUUUGUGGUUAUGAAAGUGAUCUAUAGGGUCUUAACACUGGGAAUGUAACAGUCAACUAUAUCUGGUAAAUUUAAGUAAACAUUCCACAGGCAUAUAACAAGUUCUUGAAACUCUCAGAACAAUAUUCACUUCCUAAUAUAAGAAAAUAAAAAUAUGUUGAAAAAUAAAAUAUUUGACAAAAAUGAAAAAUUUUAGUUGUUUUAGACAAAUUAUAGUUAACUUAUCUUCUUAAAAUCAUUAUUUAAAUUUAAUUAUAUAUUCAAAUAUUUUUCUCCUUCACAAUUUCUAAUGCCAUCAUACCCAGAAAGUUUUUAGGUUUUUAUUGAAUUUGUUACAAUAUUGCUUCUGUUUUAUGUUUUCUUGGCCCUGAAGCAUGUGGGAUCUUAGACCCUGGACUGGGUUUGGAACCCAUAUCCCCAGCAUUGGAAAGCAAAGUCUUAACCACUGCACCCCUAGGGUUGGAGAAGAUGGCAUUUCACUUACUGGUGGAGAUGCAUUCAGGAGGGGAGGACCAGCCUGCUUCAGCACAGGUGUGUUUGUCCUGAAGAUGCAGAAUGACCGUUUUCCACAAAAGGAAAGAAACACACUCCUAAGGACCAAAGGUUGUUUAAUGUACCAGAUGGAAGCGGCUUCUCAAAACAUGAAGGACUACAUCUCUCAUCUUUGCUGGCUCCUCUAGUCCUGAUCCCUGUGACUAUCUGUCAAGACCUUGUGACCCCACCUGCUACAUCCUUCUCCACUCCCCGAACAAUUCAUCCACAUCAGGCAUUUACUCACUGAGACAUUUUGGUGUCGGUGACCAUCCUCCCUCUGUGCAUGUUAUGGGAGUCCAAAAGAAUUUUGAAGGAGACAUAAAAUUAUAU